rnacentral:lncRNA from 1 species
AGUCUUGUAAGUCUGAACCCAUCGAAGUCUUAUAAGUCUGAACCCAUCGAACAAAUACAAAGCCUCCACGGUUUGGAGACCGUUGCUAAUGCUAAGCUAAACAACCCUUUUGGUUGGGGAGUUAGACACCUCAAAAACUAAUCCCAAUCAUGUAGCAAGUGCAGGUCAGCGAGGACUAAUUAGAUUAAACCCCUGACUAAAUCUAAUGCAUUAUUGCCAUGACGCCACGCCGUUGGCCUCUCCUCCAGCUCCAAGUCGAUCAUGAUGGCACACACGCCAGCUUCCUUCCACAGUCGCAGCUAGCUCCUGCUCCUUAGGUUAACUUUACGAGGCUGCCAAAUCGCACUCUAAUUAACAUACUAAUAAGCACUAGUACUGUAUGCAUGAAUCAGGAAACAUAUUAUAGUACAAAUGCUACUAAAACAACAAGGUGCAGAUCCAACGAAUAAGCUGCAAAUCUUGAUUUUGUUAAGUUUCAUGUACUAUCCAACGCAACUAAAAGUUCGAACUUAUGAAAAUAAAGGGCUAGGCAAUCUACACGUACACUUCAACAUCCCCUCUCACGUUUGACAUGGAAAGUCAUCACGUGGAUAAACUUAGAGAUAUGGCUCAAGAUGCCUAUACGUGAACAAAGAGGGUAUCAUCAAUUUUUUAGAUAAACUGUGAAAGUGAGGACUGAACUCAAGAUCUUAGACUCUAAUACCAUGUUAGAGCAUCUCUAACAGAGGCACUAAAUUAGCCGUGUGCUGUAAAAACCGGCCAUAUAGUACCUAUUAAAAGAUGAGAACCAAAAAGGGGAAACUUGGUUAUAGCCGCAUGGCUUAAAGAAACACAAAAAACAGAUGAACGGUUAUUUAGUACUCUCUCCGUCCAGAAUUACUUGUUAUAGAAAUGAAUGUAUCUAGACAUAUUUUAGUUUUACAUACAUUUUUUUUAUGAUAAGUAAUUCCGGACGGAGGGAGUAAGAUAUAUACCGGCCAGCCGGACAUGGUUGUUCCAUCGAUUGAUCGAACAAAACGAUGAUAUACUACUACAUCAGAAGCAAUCAGAAGGACUAACACUAGGUUUCGAACCCUAGUUUAUGGACACUCCUAUAAAGGAAGAGAACACAAAGAUACGACAUGGGUUUAGUGUUCAUGUCAACUGAUGUGUCCAUAAGAGACAUUCACCUCAUAGAUGUCCUUGGGCAACGGCGAUGCAAAGUAACAUGCCUUUUCUUAGAAAGGCUCACAACACACACACAUACUCAUCCAUGUGAGAGCAUACACGGAGAGAGUAGACCGGAUCUUGAGAUUGACAAACUUGCCACAUACACUUUCUGAAAGAAUAGUGCCAGAAAGCAUGAAAUAAAUUCAGGAAAUAUGUGAGCAUUAUUGCCAAAUGUGGAACUUGAACCCGGGUGGCUUGGUUCCACCACAAGAUACACACACAUCAAAUACUAUUAAAGACUAUCCACUAAGAGCAUUUUUUCGGUACCUUAUACUGCCUAUUGGAGAGAAGCAGUAUAAGCCUAAUCUAACCAUUGAUUUCUAGAGUAUCAUGGAUUUGUUCAAAUGGUAAUUAGGUCAGUUAGAUUUGUUCAAAGGGUAUUUAGGUCAAUAAUUCUAACUUCCCUCGUAACCAUAAAGGACGUGAUAUCAUUCUUGUAAUGAAAAACAAAAUUGCCGCCAGAACUAACUCGGUAGAAUAAUUAAAGGCUGACAAGAUCAAUCGUUUAAACACACAUCUCAGUGUAAUAAUCAAAAGAAGACCAUAACUUUCUAUUCAGUGAAGCUCUCUGCUUCAUCUGGAUUUAGGAAUAGAUAAGAGCGUCCGGGAUUGGAGAUGAGGCCGACGUGAUGAUGGUGCAAGGGGUUAACAUUCCUUGACAUGUCAGUGAUUUCGUCCAGCGCCUCGCUCUGCUUCUGCAGUCUUUCCUGGUCUCACCUGCAGCUACGGAGCUGUCCUUUGCCGCUGCGAACAUCUCGCCUGGGUAACCGAGCAAAACUUGGGCAAUCUAGGCUUUCCGUCUUCUUGUCGCCGGUUGUAUCCGUCUCGUCGAUCGUCGCUGCAGGCAUAGAGAUGACGGCGAUGCAGCCUAGAGGUCCGGCGUUCAUGCAUACAAGUGUAGUUCAUGCAUUAUUUAGAUCCAAGUGUCAAGUUUUCAGAGUGUCGAUGACAUGAAGCCUCAAUUCUAUCUGAACCCAUCAAACAAAGCCUUCACGGGCGCCGUCGGUUUGGAGUGUUCCAUGCACCGUUGCUAAUGCUAAGCUAAAGAACCCUUGUGGCUGAGGAGUUUGACACCUCAAAACUAAUCCCAAUCAUGCAGCAAGCGCAGGCCAGAGAGGAUUAACUAACCUGUAGCUCAAUGUAAUGCAUUAUUGCCAUGACGCCACGCCAUUGGCCCCGCCUCCAGCUCCAAGUCGACCAUGAUGGCAUGAUGUCACACACGCCAGCUUCCCUCCACAGUCGCAGCUAACUCCUCCUUAGGCCAACCUUCCAAGGCUGCCAAAUCGCACCCUAAUUAACUUAUCAUUAAGCAUUAGGCCUGUACGCACAUAUCAGCAAACGUACUAGCAUAUAGUACUCAAAUGCUACUAUUAUAAAAACAACAAGGUGCAUCCUACCAAACAUUCAACGAAUAAGGCACAGAGAUUGUCAGAUUCUAUAUGAGCAAUAAUUUUCUGACUAAUUUCCAUCCAUUUCCCUCUCAUUUUGAAUGGAGCGAUGGGCAAAGUCUUUUGCAAAUUCACGAAAAAGAAAGCCUUCAGGUCGCUCUCAUCGGCUUCGUAUUUCACAUACGGCCCUUCGAUUGAUAGACCCCGUCUUUGGCGAUCGGCCUAUAUAUACCGCUCCACCCCUUUCCUCCCCACCUCCCAAAUUCCAGGCUUGCCACACAUUCUUUGCAAAUUUGCAACCAGAUAUAGCCUGCGAGGUUUUGUGUGCCAUGGGCAUGGCUGACAAGAGGCCGGCUGCAAGGAAGGCCGGGCUAAUCACCAAGACGCUGGACCGGUGCUGGACCACGCCGGCGAGAAACAGCAAGCCCGUGGAGGGCUGCUUCUCGGUGUAUGUUGGCGCUGGGAGGCAGCGGUUCGUGGUGCGGACAGAGUGCUUGAACCACCCGUUGUUCCGAGCUCUGUUGGAGGAGGCCGAGGAGGUGUUUGGGUACGCGGACGCAGGGCCCCUCGAGCUUCCCUGCAACGCUGAGGCGUUUGCCGGGGUGCUGCAGCAGAUCAAGGAGGAGAAGCAGAUGGCGGCAGGAAGGAGGUACGGCCUUGUCAGGAGGAACUCCUACCGGCUGCUCGGCACCAGCCGGUCUGUCAUCAUCGGACGGUCGUAACAUACGAAUUGGAUUGGAAUUGGAUGAUGCAGAGUUGAUGAGCUCUAAAGUUUCUGUCGAGCUCAUGUUCUCAGAUAUCAUAUACACUUUUGGAAGCAAACUUAGCAUUCCCAAGUAUGAUAAACAACAUCAUCGUAUACUGGGCAAUGUUAGAUAUUUUUCUUCUUCUUCUUCUUUCUAUUUUUAUAAGGUAAUGUUAGAUGUUGGUGGUGUGUUCCCAUCCUAAGUUGUAGUAACUGUCAGCGGAAGUGUCAUUUGAAUCUGUAAGUCUUGUGAUGUCCACAGAUGGUAUAGUGUCGCAAUUCCAAAGCAGAAUCGCACAAUUCAAUUCACCUCACACCGAGUGUAAGAGGUUUUGAUGGAACUACGCUAAGAUUAAUCAACUAUAGUGUUUCUCCGCAGAUCAUCUGCAUGCAAACAUCCACUGAUUUGCUACCAAAUUUGUUUUAAAUCCAUUUACACACAGGAUUACAGAGCCUCAACACAUAUGACAAAUUUUUAAAUCUCAACGCACCAGCAGAAGCAUGUUUGCGGGUUAGACACAUGGCACACCAAUGGAGGUUUGGCAUCAGUUAAUUAAGUAUUCUAAUAUCUACAAAAACUAACCACAGACAAGGACCAUAAACAGGAAAACUCAGUUAUAUAGGUAUGGCUAAAAUGUAGGCAAAAAAACCAAUAAGCAGUAGUUUAGUAGAUGAUGUAAUCGGGAAGAUAUAUAGCAACCGACUCAGAUGGAUGUACAGCAAUCAGGGCAAGCUUAACGGUUCCAGGUAUUCUUAGACCCUUUCAGAGGACUGAAGAACACCAAAGCAUGGGAUCAAGUAUCAGUAAGGGGGAAAACAGACACUGCAAAUUACCGAGUAUUAGAAUUCACUGAAACAAAUAAAAAUAAACUGCUUGAUCCAGCCUUUUGUUAUUUCUUGAGUUUGCAAUCAAUCAGUUGAACACAGGUAUCGUACAGCAACAAUACUACCAUAACUAAACAUAGGGAUAUUCUCUGAAUAUCCAAAGACAAGGCGAUAAAUCAUAUAUGACGUGUCUUGAUGAACAGUAUUUACAGCCGUGGCCAUGGUCUUUGCUGAAUUUCUGUCUCUUUAUUCUAUAGCAAGAGAAGCUAGAGCCAUCAGCUUUGGCUCCAACUAAUACUGGUACUCCAAGGGUUCCCGAGACGUAAACUCUAACCUCACCUUUAUAAACUAACAUUUUGUGGCCCCACGGACAAAUGGAACCGUUAGGCAGAUGCAGAGAUCUUCAUAUAAUAUUGCCUUAACCAUUGACUAAUUAAUCCAGUGCUAACUUUUGGAGGACCUGAAGCACCAACACGAGUGCAUCGGCACUAGAAAAUGGGUUAAAUGUCCAUCUUAACCUGAUCCCUCUAGAGUCAAAAGUUAGAACCAUAUUGUUUUCACUACCUCCAACUUAUCUGAAAAGAUGGAGUCAAGAGCUUGGUGAAACCCCUGGUAAAUUAAGUUUAGAAGCAAAACCAACAUAUCUUAAACAUAAUGGUUAUGCGAAAGGGGAUCAAACUUUUGUCACGCAGUUUUGGAUAGGAAAAAUCUAGACUAUGGCAGCAAGUCUAUAAGAUGAAACUUAUUAUUGUACAAGUGCUGCUAAAACAACAAGUCACAUCCUUGUAAAGACCAAUGAAUAAGGUGCGAAGCUUGAUUCUAUAUGUGCAAUAAUUGUCUGACUAUUUUCAAUCACUUUCUCACUAUUCUUUAAUGAAAUGAUGAGCAGGUCUUUUCCGUAUUCACCUUUUAAAAUAGCUUUUGGGUCACUCUCAUCAUCUUCAUAUCUCAAAUAUGGCCUUUCCAUCGAGAGACCACGUCUUGGUGGAUCCGUCUAUAUAUAUAAUUCCAACCCUUUCCUUGUCACCUCCCAAUUCCAAGCUUGCUACACUUUUUCUUCAUUUUGCAAAAUUCCAACUAGUUAGCCUGCUAACUUUUGUGCACCAUGGGCAUGUCUGAGAAGAGCUUGGCCAAGAGGAAGGCUGGGCUGAUCACCAAGACACUGGACAGGUGCUGGAGCACACCAAUGAGGAACAAGCCUGCAGAGGGCUGUUUCUCUGUCUACGUCGGUGCCGGGAGGCAGCGGUUCGUGGUGCGGACAGAGUGCGUGAACCACCCGCUGUUCCGGGCGCUGCUCGAGGAGGCCGAGGAGGUGUUUGGGUACGCGUCCGCAGGCCCCCUCGAGCUACCCUGCAACGCCGAGGCGUUCGCCGGGGUGUUGGAGCAGAUCAAGGAGGAGAAGCAGAUGGCUGGGGGGAGGAGGUGUGGCCUCUCCAGGGGGAAAUCCUACCGGCUGCUUGGCACUGGUCAGACUGUCAUCAUCGAUCGGUCGUAGCAUAUGCAUUGGAUUGGAUGAUGCCGAGUUUAUGAGCUCUGAGUUUUGUUGAACUCGCAUUCUGGGACUACCGUGUACACAUUUGGAAGCAACCUUAGCAUUCCCAAGUAUGAUAAACAACAUCAUCAUAUACUGGGCAAAUGAGAUACUUUUAUUUUUUCUUCUGUUUCUGGUUUGCAUUUUUGUGAGAAGGCAAUGUUAGAUGUUGAUGUGUUUUCCCCUCCUAAGUUGUAGUAACUGUCGGUGGAAGUGUUAUACAGAUAUAUAAAGAAUCUAUAAGUUUUUCUUUAUGUCUAUAUAUGGCAUAAUGUUGCAAUUCCAAAGUAGAAUCGCACAGUUCAAUUCAUCUCGCACUGAUUGCAAGUGGUUUGGAUCAAAUUACGCUAAGAUACACCUAUAGUGUUUUCCCGCAGAUCUUCUCUUACGCAAGCAUCCACUAAUUUGCUAUCCAAAUCUGUUUGAAUUCCAUUUACACACUGGAUUACAGAGCCUCAACUCAUCUGUCAAUUUUUUAAAUCUCAAAGCACAGAAAUAUGUAUGCCGACUAGACACACGGCACACGGAAUGGAGGUAUGGCAUCAAUUAAUCAAGUGAUCUAAAUCAACAAAAAUUAACCACAGAAAAGGGCCAUAAACUGGAAAAGUCGUUUGUUGAUAUGGUUAAAAGGUAGGCAAAAAACAAAUGAGCAGUAGUGUAGUAGAUGAUGUAGUCAAGAAGAUAUAUCCAUUGAUUGAUCGAAUAAAUGAUGAUUUGGCAUCUAUAAGGAUCGGUAUAUCUAAUUUCUCGUAAAUGGAAAAGGGCUAAAGUAAUGUUAGUUGGUACAUUUGAUUGGAUUGAUCUCCAGGUACAUAAAUUUAUUCAAGACAAAGCUAUAGAAUUAGUGCAUUAAUGUACAAUACAGGUAGCAUGUGGGUUACCAUUUUCACUGUCAACUGAUGUUUUUUCUCCAGCCAAUACCAUUUGAUGCUUGCUAGGGACAUUUUUGCAGAACUAUAACUCCAGAACCAGUCGAUAACUUCCUUUGAUCCUGCAAUCAGGGCAAGGUUAACGAUUCCAGGUAUUCUUUGACUCACUCAGAGGACUGAAGAACACCAAAGUAUGGGAUCAAGUAUCAGUAAGGAGAAAACAGACACCGCAAAUUACUGGGUAUUAUAUUAUUAACAAUAAACUGCUUGAUCCAGCCCUUUCCUAUUGUUUGGAUUUGCAACCAGUCAGUUGAACCCAGGGACC